rnacentral:rRNA from 1 species
GCCCUUUUCCGGUUGAUCCUGCCGGACCUGACUGCUAUCGGAUUGAUACUAAGCCAUGCGAGUCAUUGUAGCAAUACAAGGCAGACGGCUCAGUAACGCGUAGUCAACCUACCCUAUGGACGGGGAUAACCUCGGGAAACUGAGAAUAAUACCCGAUAGAACAUUAUACCUGGAAUGGUUUAUGUUUCAAAUAAUUUAUNNNCGUAGGAUGGGACUGCGGCCUAUCAGUUUGUUGGUGAGGUAANGNCCCACCAAGACUAUUACGGGUACGGGCUCUGAGAGGAGUAGCCCGGAGAUGGGUACUGAGACACGGACCCAGGCCCUAUGGGGCGCAGCAGGCGAGAAAACUUUGCAAUGUGCGAAAGCACGACAAGGUUAAUCCGAGUGGUUUCUGCUAAAGGAACCUUUUGCCAGUCCUAGAAACACUAGUGAAUAAGGGGUGGGCAAGUUCUGGUGUCAGCCGCCGCGGUAAAACCAGCACCUCAAGUGGUCAGGAUGAUUAUUGGGCCUAAAGCAUCCGUAGCCUGCUUUGCCAGUUUUCGGUUAAAUCCAUACGCUUAACGUAUGGGCUGCCGGAAAUACUACAAAGCUAGGGAGUGGGAGAGGUAGACGGUACUCGGUAGGAAGGGGUAAAAUCCUUUGAUCUAUUGAUGACCACCUGUGGCGAANGCGGUCUA